rnacentral:rRNA from 1 species
AUUGAACGCUGGCGGCAUGCUUUACACAUGCCAGUCGAACGGCAGCGGGGAGGAGCUUGCUUCUCUGCCGGCGAGUGGCGCACGGGUGAGUAAUACAUCGGAACGUGUCGAGAAGAGGGGGAUAACCACCCGAAAGGGUGGCUAAUACCGCAUAAAUUCUGAGGAAGAAAGCUGGGGACCUGGGAAUAGGCCUAGCGCUUUUUGAGCGGCCGAUGUCGGAUUAGCUAGUUGGUGAGGUAAAGGCUCACCAAGGCGAAGAUCUGUAGCGGGUCUGAGAGGAUGAUACGCCACACUGGGACUGAGACACGGCCCAGACUCCUACGGGAGGCAGCAGUGGGGAAUUUUGGACAAUGGGGGCAACCCUGAUCCAGCCAUGCCGCGUGUAUGAAGAAGGCCUUAGGGUUGUAAAGUACUUUUGUUAGGGAAGAAAAGUCAGCUGUGAAUAAUGGCUGAUACUGACGGUACCUAAAGAAUAAGCACCGGCUAACUACGUG